rnacentral:rRNA from 1 species
GGGGAAUUUUCCGCAAUGGGCGAAAGCCUGANCGGAGCAAUCUCGCGUGAGGGAUGACUGCCUAUGGGUUGUAAACCUCUUUUUUCAGGGAGGAAUCAAUGACGUGUACCCUGAAGAAUAAGCAUCGGCUAACUCCGUGCCAGCAGCCGCGGUAAGACGGAGGAUGCAAGUGUUAUCCGGAAUCACUGGGCGUAAAGCGUCUGUAGGUGGUUUGAUAAGUCAACUGUUAAAUCUUGAGGCUCAACCUCAAAAUCGCAGUCGAAACUAUUAGANCUAGAGUAUAGUAGGGGUAAAGGGAAUUUCCAGUGGAGCGGUGAAAUGCGUAGAGAUUGGAAAGAACACCGAUGGCGAAGGCACUUUACUGGGCUAUUACUAACACUCAGAGACGAAAGCUAGGGUAGCAAAUGGGAUUAGAUACCCCAGUAGUC